rnacentral:lncRNA from 1 species
AGAGAUCUUUGGCAAGAUAGCAUACUGUAUGUGUAAAACAGCAGUUCUCAAAGUGUGCCUGGAGCAGCAUCAGCAACAUCACUUGGGAAAUGAGAAAAAUGCAGAUUCUCUGAUCCCACCUCUGACCUACAGAAUCAAAAACUCUAGAAAUGGGCCUCUGUAAGCUGUGUUUCAACCAGCCCUCCAGAGUUUCAGUUACCUGUGCUCAACCAUGGUCCAAAAGCAGAUGAUCCUCUGAUUCUGAUGCUACGUCAGAAGGUCAAUAGCAGCCUAACGCUAUGCCUCAAUGCCAAUGUCAUUCACCUCACUUCAUCUCAUCACACUGGGAUUUUAUCAUCUCAUGUCAUUACAAGAGCAGGACUACAAAGCUGAGCACAGAACUAUGACUAUUCAAACACGUUGAAGAUACAACAGAGAAUGAAUAGCAAUGAAAGACAGUCUUGACUUGCUGCCAAGGAGAAAGAGAAGAGAUGAUGAACGGCCGAUUUGAGACAACUACCACUCAAAGGAUUUAUAAGAAGGAAAUGUUCUACAUUACUCAAGAAGAACAGAACAUGAGUUCAUUACACCCAUUGCAUCUUUUAGAUAGGGCUAAACUCUCAGAUUUUGAAUGCUGUCUUUGAUAAGCAUAGCUAGCUGUACUGUUGUCAUAGCUCAAGACUCAAGUACUGAUUUAUGCCUUGACCCUAAGUAACAUUCUGAAAAUGCUACUAAAUUUGAGAUCCUGAUUUGGAAGUCAAGAAUUGUAUGAUGUAACAUAAUUUUGAAGUCUAAAUACCAGUUAUUCUUGAAAACAAAACAAAACAAAAACACAGCUCCAAAGGCUGGCAAUUAAUCGUCAACAUCAACAUGUGUUUAUUAAGCCCUGCUUUGAGAGCUAUAAAAUAUAUAUUAGAACGUCUCUAUUUUAAGAAGCUCACAAACUUUCUGUAAUAAAGGUAAAGUUUAUUCUCUUCACGAACAGGGCUCCUUGCUAGUAUAUAUGCAUUGUUUAAAGCACAUUCUUCUAGGUUAUUUCAUUCUAUGGGGACUCUGAGUCUUUCAUUGCCUUUGAACUAUUUUACAACACUGUAAAUUGUAGAUAACCGAUAGCAGUACAAAAGAAUUCUCCUCUAUAGAUAUGCAAAUAAAUUCUGUCCAGCGGAAGUUCAAAG